GCGGAAGUAAAGGCGGGGCGCCGGGUACCUCCCCAGGCGAUCCCUGGUGCGGUUACGCCGGAGCGAGGGACUGGUCCAGCCAAUGAAAACAGGAAUCUGACCGGGCACACCUUUCAAAGAGACGGGGAGCCGGCGUUAACGGGAUGCUUGGAGGAGCCGCGCCCUCCUGCCUGGCUGAGCUCAGAGCUGAGUAAGAGCUGCGCACAUCACUGCAGAUAAGAAGUCAAAGUGAAGUCACUCGCCAUGAGGAGGAGGAGCUGCCAAGACAGGCUGGCUGGGGGCUCUGCCCCCUGAGAUGUCCAAGCCAGCCUGUUGGCAGAAGGCCAGGGCACAGUGCUAUCAGCUCAGGAGAGCCACCCUGCGGCCACCAGACCUUAUGUUGCCUGCCUCACCCUCCCAGGGCUUCAGGCUCUUGGACAUCUGGGGCUGGAGUUGGCUGUGGGGGAUUCCCCUGGGUGUGGGCGAGCUACCUCUGGUGCUAAUAGUAACCACCAAGGCUGAGCUGCU